rnacentral:lncRNA from 1 species
UUCUGAAUUGUGAAUUAUUUAGUUGGAUCCUAGCCUUAAUAUUUCAUUUGGGUGUUAUAUUGAGGAUUUCUUUUUCUAAUCAAAACUUGUCAUUCUUGUUUUGUAGAUGUCAACUUCCAACAACGCUUCUGGCUCCUCCAACAACAACUCCAACCACUUCUCGCUCUUGAGCAAUAGCUCAUAAGCCACCUUUGAUAGAUCCAAUUAUAAUGAUUAGAUUCACAACAUCAAGAUGGAUUUGAGAUUUGAGGACAAGGAAUAUGUUCUCGAAAAGGAGCUGAACGAGAUCGAUGAAACUAAAGCUACUCCUGAACAAACUGUUGAGUAUAGGAGACAUUGCAACGAUGCGAACAAAGUGUCAUGCAUCAUGGUUGCCACUAUGAAUCCCAAGCUUCAGAGGUUCUAUGAGGACUAUUGUUCAUAUGAGAUGAACAAGGACUUGAUGGAAAAGUACCAUCAAUGAGCUCAUCAAGAGAGGUAUGAAAUUGUGAAGCCCUUGAUUACUAGCAAGAUGAAGGACGGAGAGUCCAUCACGAUCCACUUGCAACGUAUG